GACAGAGGAUGCAAGCGUUAUCCGGAAUGAUUGGGCGUAAAGCGUCUGUAGGUGGCUUUUUAAGUCCGCCGUCAAAUCCCAGGGCUCAACCCUGGACAGGCGGUGGAAACUACCAAGCUGGAGUACGGUAGGGGCAGAGGGAAUUUCCGGUGGAGCGGUGAAAUGCGUAGAGAUCGGGAGGAACACCAGUGGCGAAGGCGGCUACCUGGACCAGCACUGACACUGAAGCACGAAAGCGUGGGGAGCAAACAGG
rnacentral:rRNA from 1 species